rnacentral:rRNA from 1 species
GAUUUACAUUUGAGUGAGUGGCGAACUGGUGAGUAACACGUGGGAAACCUGCCCAGAAGCGGGGGAUAACACCUGGAAACAGAUGCUAAUACCGCAUAACAACUUGGACCGCAUGGUCCGAGUUUGAAAGAUGGCUUCGGCUAUCACUUUUGGAUGGUCCCGCGGCGUAUUAGCUAGAUGGUGGGGUAACGGCUCACCAUGGCAAUGAUACGUAGCCGACCUGAGAGGGUAAUCGGCCACAUUGGGACUGAGACACGGCCCAAACUCCUACGGGAGGCAGCAGUAGGGAAUCUUCCACAAUGGACGAAAGUCUGAUGGAGCAACGCCGCGUGAGUGAAGAAGGGUUUCGGCUCGUAAAACUCUGUUGUUAAAGAAGAACAUAUCUGAGAGUAACUGUUCAGGUAUUGACGGUAUUUAACCAGAAAGCCACGGCUAACUACGUGCCAGCAGCCGCGGUAAUACGUAGGUGGCAAGCGUUGUCCGGAUUUAUUGGGCGUAAAGCGAGCGCAGGCGGUUUUUUAAGUCUGAUGUGAAAGCCUUCGGCUCAACCGAAGAAGUGCAUCGGAAACUGGGAAACUUGAGUGCAGAAGAGGACAGUGGAACUCCAUGUGUAGCGGUGAAAUGCGUAGAUAUAUGGAAGAACACCAGUGGCGAAGGCGGCUGUCUGGUCUGUAACUGACGCUGAGGCUCGAAAGUAUGGGUAGCAAACAGGAUUAGAUACCCUGGUAGUCCAUACCGUAAACGAUGAAUGCUAAGUGUUGGAGGGUUUCCGCCCUUCAGUGCUGCAGCUAACGCAUUAAGCAUUCCGCCUGGGGAGUACGGCCGCAAGGCUGAAACUCAAAGGAAUUGACGGGGGCCCGCACAAGCGGUGGAGCAUGUGGUUUAAUUCGAAGCUACGCGAAGAACCUUACCAGGUCUUGACAUACUAUGCAAAUCUAAGAGAUUAGACGUUCCCUUCGGGGACAUGGAUACAGGUGGUGCAUGGUUGUCGUCAGCUCGUGUCGUGAGAUGUUGGGUUAAGUCCCGCAACGAGCGCAACCCUUAUUAUCAGUUGCCAGCAUUAAGUUGGGCACUCUGGUGAGACUGCCGGUGACAAACCGGAGGAAGGUGGGGAUGACGUCAAAUCAUCAUGCCCCUUAUGACCUGGGCUACACACGUGCUACAAUGGAUGGUACAACGAGUUGCGAACUCGCGAGAGUAAGCUAAUCUCUUAAAGCCAUUCUCAGUUCGGAUUGUAGGCUGCAACUCGCCUACAUGAAGUCGGAAUCGCUAGUAAUCGCGGAUCAGCAUGCCGCGGUGAAUACGUUCCCGGGCCUUGUACACACCGCCCGUCACACCAUGAGAGUUU